GGAAGGAACUAACAGGGAUUCCCCUAGUAACUGCGAGUGAAGCGGGAAAAGCUCAAAUUUAAAAUCUGGUAGUCUCUGGCUGCCCGAGUUGUAAUCUAGAGAAGCGUUAUCCGCGCUGGACCGUGUAUAAGUCUCCUGGAAUGGAGCGUCAUAGAGGGUGAGAAUCCCGUCUUUGACACGGACUACCAGGGCUUUGUGAUGCGCUCUCAAAGAGUCGAGUUGUUUGGGAAUGCAGCUCUAAAUGGGUGGUAAAUUCCAUCUAAAGCUAAAUAUUGGCGAGAGACCGAUAGCGAACAAGUACCGUGAGGGAAAGAUGAAAAGAACUUUGGAAAGAGAGUUAAACAGUACGUGAAAUUGUUGAAAGGGAAACGCUUGAAGUCAGUCGCGUUGGCUAGGAAUCAGCCUUGCUUUUGCUCGGUGUACUUCCUUGUUAACGGGUCAGCAUCAAUUUUGACCGGUGGAAAAGGGCCAGUUGAAUGUGGCAUCUCCGGAUGUGUUAUAGCUUCUGGUCGUAUGCAUCGGUUGGGAUUGAGGAACUCAGCACGCCGAAAGGUCGGGGUUCGCCCACGUUCGUGCUUAGGAUGCUGGCAUAAUGGCUUUAAUCGACCCGUCUUGAAACACGGACCAAGGAGUCUAACAUGCCUGCGAGUGUUUGGGUGGAAAACCCGAGCGCGUAAUGAAAGUGAAAGUUGAGAUCCCUGUCGCGGGGAGCAUCGACGCCCGGACCAGACCUUCUGUGACGGUUCCGCGGUAGAGCAUGUAUGUUGGGACCCGAAAGAUGGUGAACUAUGCCUGAAUAGGGUGAAGCCAGAGGAAACUCUGGUGGAGGCUCGUAGCGAUUCUGACGUGCAAAUCGAUCGUCAAAUUUGGGUAUAGGGGCGAAAGACUAAUCGAACCAUCUAGUAGCUGGU
rnacentral:rRNA from 1 species